rnacentral:tRNA from 1 species
AGCAGUUGUUCGAUGAGGACCAGCGACUCUCUUGGUGAGAGAGCCUGCGCGCGGAUCGUGCCAUACCGCAGUUCCAGGAUGCGCAGCUGUUUC